rnacentral:rRNA from 1 species
AACAGCCGCGGUAAUUCCAGCUCCAAUAGCGUAUAUUAAAGUUGUUGCAGUUAAAAAGCUCGUAGUUGAAUUUCGGGGUCAGUAGAUUGGUCGUGCCACUGGUAUGUACUGGUCUUACUGGCUCCUCCUUCCUGAUGAACCGUAAUGCCAUUAAUUUGGUGUUGCGGGGAGACUGGACUGUUACUUUGAAAAAAUUAGAGUGUUUAAAGCAGGCUAACGCUUGAAUACAUUAGCAUGGAAUAAUGAAAUAGGACGUUCGAUCUUAUUUUGUUGGUUUCUAGGAUUGACGUAAUGAUUAAUAGGGAUAGUUGGGGGCAUUAGUAUUCAAUUGUCAGAGGUGAAAUUCUUGGAUUUAU